rnacentral:rRNA from 1 species
GAUGAACGCUGGCGGCGUGCCUAAUACAUGCAAGUCGAGCGAACGGACGAGAAGCUUGCUUCUCUGAUGUUAGCGGCGGACGGGUGAGUAACACGUGGAUAACCUACCUAUAAGACUGGGAUAACUUCGGGAAACCGGCGCUAAUACCGGAUAAUAUUUUGAACCGCAUGGUUCAAAAGUGAAAGACGGUCUUUGUGUCACUUAUAGAUGUAUCCGCGCUGCAUUAGCUAGUUGGUAAGGUAACGGCUUACCAAGGCAACGAUGCAUAGCCGACCUGAGAGGGUGAUCGGCCACACUGGAACUGAGACACGGUCCAGACUCCUACGGGAGGCAGCAGUAGGGAAUCUUCCGCAAUGGGCGAAAGCCUGACGGAGCAACGCCGCGUGAGUGAUGAAGGUCUUCGGAUCGUAAAACUCUGUUAUUAGGGAAGAACAUAUGUGUAAGUAACUGUGCACAUCUUGACGGUACCUAAUCAGAAAGCCACGGCUAACUACGUG